GGAUGCUGACUCACUGUGCCUGCUUCCCAGUCUGUUUCCUUGACUCACUCUAAAGACGCCUGUAAAUAAGGACUCCACUCUUACUUGUUACUUGGCCACGUCUUCAGUGAGCUGUUUGGUGAGAUAGAGCUAUACCGAGGGAAGCCAAUGCGUCCUAACAGCAGGAAAAACGCUUAGACGUUGUAAGAGAUAUCGUCUUUUAUUUCCAUUGCAAAAUGUUUCACUUCAGUUGAAUUUAUGCAGUAAUACAAAAAAACAUUGGCGCACGAGAUACUCCUCUCGCUUGUGCUCAGUUGAGUUAAGGCACAUCAUUGUCUAUCCAUCUAUCUUUGUGUGCUGUCCUUAUUUGGACAGCUGUUAUGUGAAAAAAGGAUUGGAAAAGGAUAAGGAUGUGGAUCACUGUUUAGCGGGCUACAAAGAGAAAUGUAAAACUGCUGAUGUAAUCCCUGUGCAGCCCAUCAGCUCAUCCCACGGUGGGGACUCUUUGAGACCAUAGGGUUGUUGUAAUCAUUAGCAGUGGCUGUACUCGAGACACAAGGUUGCGUUCAUACACCUUCUUGCCUCAUCGGGGGAUAUGAAACAAUAACGAUUAGGCCUACAUUUGACAUUGGUGUAUGCAAUAGAAAUUGAUCAACGUUUCAAGGAGCCUCAGAUCUAUUUCUCCCAGCAGAUGAAGAGCUGGUUCUGUUUUCACAAGCAGUACUGUUUAUAUCGACUUCUACUUCAUCUCAUGUGUUUACAUUACGGGUUGCAAAACUGUAAUGAGAAGAAACUGUUUAUGCAGUGAAGUACACACUGGAACACUGGCUUUUCCGCCCUUUGAUAUGCACUUAACACUAUAUACUCCCACUGGAAAGGUAUGAGGCAAAGGAAUGCAGAAUACUGGAUGAAGGCUUAAACAUGUGAAGUGUUACUAGCCAACCCUGAAUGUAACACAUCAUUCAAUUUCGAUUUGAUUUUUUUUUGACUUAAUACUGACUCUUUUGUACAAAACACACAUGUACAAACUGGUGAUUUACAAAGAAAUCAGAGCUCCUUUGAGACUAACAAAAAAACAUGAGAAAAUGCACUUUUAAGAUUUAUCAAUGAGUCAACUUUAUAACACGACUGAAGCAGUGCUAAAGUGCUCCUCGUGUAAAUCGUUUUUCCCGUGUCUCGCACGUCCGGCACUUUGCCGAGGUGUACAAAGAUUCUCAAGUGUUUCAAGUGUGGUUGUUUUACCCCGUAAAUACAUUCAUUUUCUCAUCCGUAUAGACGUACAUACAUGAGGCAUAUAAACACACUGCUCUAUUGUGGAGCAUCUGCCAAUAACACUGAAGUGACUGUACUGGAAGCUCUAUGGUCCUUCUCAGGCGUUGAGCUCAUGAUCAUUAUACUCCACAGACCAAUAGGCCGCUGGCUGCCAGAACACGGACGAUUUGGUUCAUCAGGUUCGUCUAGUUGCCACCAAGUCAUGGAGGCAUAGUUGCAACACAAGUAGAGAUGGGAAUGCUUUAAAGGUUAUGGCAAAAGAACAAAUUAUUUCAUGAGAAAAGUGCAAAAAAAACGCCGGUACCAUUGAGUUUUAGGAAGUGUAGAAGCACGUCUGCAGAAGCAAGGAGUAGAUUUUGUAAGGCACAGACUGCCGUUUGAACCAAAUGAGCAGAAAAAAUAACAUGUAUGAAAGAGUCUCCUUUCUCAUUAAAAAAGGUGCAUAAUAAAGACGGCUCUUCAAAAGGAACUUUCUUCUCCUCCUCUUAAAUAAAUAAGCAAAUCAGUCUUUGAUCAUUAAAUGGGUUCCACAAUGUUUGUAUAAGCGCAAGUCAUACAAGACUUAUUGUGACUUCCGGUUGUUGCUGCUCACAGGAAGCUCUUCUUCAGAACCCUGGGUCCUGCCAAUUGUCCGCCUUUGCCUUGAAGCCUUUCUGGGCCAGCAGGAGAGGCUGUACAACAUACUCUAUAAGGGGGUUAAAUACAUGGAACCGUGCAGAGUAGCAGCAUCACUCACUGAGAUGAAGACACACCUCUGUGGACAUUCAUGCCUUGAAAGAGGAUGGCUUCACUGGAGGUAUGGGGGAAGCACUGCUGGAUUUGACUAGACGGACGGGAGAUGGACUGGGCUUGACUGGGGGGAGUGGUGGAGGGUUGGACCGGAUCAUAGAAGGACUGGGCUUCGUAGAAGGGACUGGUGGUGGAUUGGACCGGACCAGAGAAGGACUGGGUUUGACUGGGGGGACUGGGGGUGGAGGGUUGGACCGGACCAGAGAAGGACUGCAGUGGACUUGGUGAACUAGUCGUGGACUGGAAAUGACUGGACGGUAUAUAGAAGGAGUAGGCUUUGCUGACGGGGUCGGUGGGGGGCUGGGCUUGGCUGAGGAGACCCGUGAUGAACUGGACAAUACCGGAGAAGGGCUGGACUUUAUUGAGUGAUCAGGAGAAGGGCAGUACUUCUCUGAGGUCAUCACUGGUGGCGCAAUCGUUUUGGAUGGUAAACACUGUGAAGGAGUUCAAAAGGUCAGGUUUGUAUAAUACAAUUGAACACACAAUGGCGUCUUUGUUGAAAUAGACAGGCUCCACUUUAGCUUUUCUUUGGUAUGGGACCACUUUUUCUCCUAGAAAUUAGAUAAAGAGAUUAAGAAGAUUACUGCUGUGUUUCUCUUUGGUUCAGUGACUCACCUGCUUGCUAUUCAAGGGCGGUGGGGAUCUACAAGGAGGUUCUGUUUUCAGCUGCGAAAAGAUAAACAUUCCUUUUCCAGUUCCAUUUCAUUGAGCAAACAUGAUUAAAAACAGAUACCACAGACACAUUGCAUCAACAAGUAAAACUGUGACGAACGAUGAAGAGAGAUGACAACAUACCGACUCAGAUUGAGCAGCGUUCGACUCUGUUGAUUUCUGUGGCGGCUGAGAAAGGGAAAGAACAAUGUCAUAAAAAAACAAUUCUGUUCCCCAUUGUUAAACUGUUAACACAUGUCUAUGGUUAACGCCAUUGUCUGGCAAUACAAACAUUGUAUUUAUUAGUACUAUCAACUACUUGUACAAACUAUGGUUAGCUGUACCUGAGGGGCAGGCCGGCAGGGCACCCCGCUCACAAACAGAGGGGUGCAGGCGUGUGUGGCCGUGCUGUCCAUGAAGGUAGUUCUCCUUCCUGCGCUUCUUACAGCAGAUCAGUCCUAUCGCCACGGCGAUGAAUACCAAGAGAAUGACCAGCGCUGAAACCACGCCACCGAUCAACGCGCUUUGGUCUGGGGAACCAAAGAAACAGCAGUUACCAACAGUUAGUUAGUUGUGGUCUCUGCUAUCAACUCUAGCUGUCAUGUCUUUGCCAUUGGUUUUAUUUUUAGGGAUUAUUUUCUGUACAUGGAUAGAAAAGUGAAAGUCCAUUUCCCAGUUCCUUGUGGCGG
ensembl:lncRNA